AUGCAGUGGCAACGGCAAGAGGGAAUAAAUGAAACUAGAGUGUGAACUCACUUGGUGCCCGGUAGACGACGGAGGCGGCGCCGGCGAAGUCGCACGUCCCGCUUGCCCGACGGUUGCGCUGGUAGUAGCUGUUGAACGCGUGUGAGGCGUGCGCGACCAUGGUGUUGGGCUCGAAGCACGGCGCGCCCGGCUGGAUGGUGCUGCAGUCCGCGCCGUUGGCACACGCAUAGUUCAACCCAUCCAGCAGCCGCGCGUCCCCGACCGCCGCGUUCGCCACGCACCAGCUCGCGUUCGGGUCGCAGGUGCCUUCAGUUUCACACCACCAGGUUGAUCAGACGAUAGAUGACUGGAUCAUCAGCAUUAUUGUUUGCACGUUUGCAGUUUGCAUGAUCGGCAAACAAGACCUCUGAAAGCAGCAGCGAGCGAGGAAGCCGAGAACUCACCAGCUGGUUCUUGGUAGACGAUGUAACCGGCGCCGUUGAAGUCGCACGUCCCGUUGCUCCGGCCGUUCCGCUGGUAGUAGCUGUUGAACGCGUACGAGGCGUGCGCGACCACGGUGUCCGGCUCGAAGCACGUCGCGCCGGGCUGGAUGGCGCUGCAGUCGGCGCCGUGGCCGCACGCGUACUCCAGUGCCGCCUGCAGCCACGACUCCCCGACCGACGCGUUCGCCACGCACCAGCUCUCCGCCCCCGGCGCCGGCGGAACGCCGCCGCCGCGGAAGUCGAACUCGUACACCUUCUCCAUGUUGGGGUAGAAGAGGCCGAAG
rnacentral:lncRNA from 1 species